GGGGCCUCCGAAGGUGGGAGGGAAUUUCGAGAGUUUCAGGCAACACGCAGCCCCUCCACCACUGCAUCAGACGAGAGGCCCAUUUUCCAACACGCCCAAGAAAAAAUAUACAUAAAGGUUGAUGUGUUUUCAAAUGGGUUUUUGCUUUGCUCUUCUCUUUUCUCCCUGUGAGUAUUAACCUUGGGGACCCUGGGGACGGCUCGGCUUGCCAGAGCA
rnacentral:lncRNA from 1 species